UUUUGUUCUUGAUGGAGAGGCGUGUGCUCACGCUCGUUCGUCCCUUCGGGGACAUCCGAUAAAAUUGGAACGAUACAGAGAAGAUUAGCAUGGCCCCUGCGCAAGGAUGACACGCAUAAAUCGAGAAAUGGUCCAAAUUUUUUUUGAGAAUUUUUCUCUUUAAUUUUCCAAUUUCCAGGGAAUUUAGAGGAUGGGUUUGAUUUUUUGUUUCCAGAAUUUGAACUUGUUCGUUCUUAAUCGCCCGAGUUCUGAGCUUCAUUGGUCUAAGGGAUUUGAAGUUUUUCAGUUUCUGGGUACUUUUUGGCAUCUACGUUGGUUCCGUCGGGAUUGAUUCGGAUUACUUUUCCUCUUUUAACAUGAUUUUUGGGAUUUUGUGCUUUUGAUAUCUCGGCUUUCGGUUCCAGAGGUUAUUUGAUGUCUGUUAUCAUUAUAAUGAACGAAGAAGGAUUGGGUCUCGGAGACGGUGGAGAACCGCCUGCCAUUGCUGCAACUACGGCGGCGCGAAAGCAGAAAAUCGCUGGAAAUCUCGUCGAUGAUUUUGGAUUUGUAGUUAAGUUUCUUUGGUAUUGUGAGGGUAAGAGCUGGUAUUUGGGAAUCUGAGACCCUGCAUCACUUAACCUUGUGUGGUAAUGUAGGUGGAAUAUCACAAUGCAAAGUUGUGAAGUUGAGGGUGAGAUGUAAGUAACCACAACUGUGCCAAACUCAUGAGUGUCACUCGACGUGAUCCAGCUUGGGUAUUGUCGAACUCAAUUAAUGUAAGUAUUAAAGAAACUCAUGCUCUUUGAGGAGAUGAUAGCGGGCCAAGCACAAGAUUGCAAAAACUCAGACAGUCAAUGUCAAUUCAACAACUUUGCUCUCACAUAGGUUCCAUAUGGUUCCACUCCUUUCUCUUAAUUGCAACAUGGAUCUGCCUGAUAGUGAGCACAAAUGCUGUUCCAUCCCAGAAUGAUGAGCAUCAGUCCUGAAGUCUCAGGUUUGUUUUAUGAUGAUUACGUAACGUUCAAGUAAAUCAUAAAUAUCGGCUUCCGCUUGUUGUCCGUCCUUAAUGGUAAUCCUCUAGCCUGCAUUGUGUUACGGGACUAUCGUUUCUUCACCAAUGAGAGCGCCAAACUUCUGUUAUGGAUCUAUUCUGCAAAGCUCUUUCCAUAUCUUCCAUACCUUCAUUUUUCCGAAUGGGAUACCAGACUCAGAGGUGGGUCUCACUUUCAUGCAUCAUAUAACUCUACUUAGGAGAAAGAGGCUCCAGAAACUAACCACAACGAAACUCUGCUUCAAAAUGAUUUGAUCAUAGUUUUCUCGGUAAGAAGGAUUAUUUGCAGAGGAGACCCCUGAGUUCUGGCCUAAUUAUGGAAAUUGUCUCUUGAACUGUUGACACUACAAAAUACUGCCCUAUGAUGAUGGUGGGCACGUAAAAUUCAUUUACUUCCUCAAAUUUGAGUUCACCUUCAAAUAGUUCCUGUUUUUUCAACUUAAUUCAGGUUGGUCCCUACAAUUGGUAAUUUUUCUAUAUUACCCCUAUAAAACUUUUCUUUUUCUACAGAAAAUUAUUUUAGUCCUUCACUUUUUAUUUUUUAUUGCAACUUGGUCCCUCAUGUUGAUGUGUAUUAAAAUAUGUGUUUGACCAGGACUAAGCAUCAACUUUAAAGAAAAAUAAAGAUUAUAUAAAAUAAUUUAGAAAAUAAAAAAAGGCGAACCAAAUUAUUUUAUACAACAAAAUGGUGAUCUUCAAUUAUACAGAAGAAUAGAUAAUAACUUAAUUAUAUCAACAUAAUUAUCAUGAAUUUAUUGAACUUUUUGAAUUUUUCAAAUAAAAGAACGCUUGAAUGAAUAAGGUGUUUUAUAUACUUCACUUAUUGUUCAACAUUUUAGCUGACAUAUUUAUCUUCUUUUUUAUGUUCUAAUUUUAGAUGUUUUUUGUUUAGAUUUCUUUUUCUAUUUUUCUAUUCAUACAUUUUUCUUCAACUUAUUUAUUCAAAUAUUUUCUUAUUUACAAAAUUCGACAAGUUCAUUAAAUUCACAACAGUAUCUUAUUACAGUAAAACCUCUAUAAAUUAAUACUCUAUAA